rnacentral:rRNA from 1 species
UACGAAGGGGGCUAGCGUUGCUCGGAAUGACUGGACGUAAAGGGCGCGUAGGCGGAUUGUACAGUCAGGCGUGAAAUUCCCGGGCUCAACCUGGGGGCUGCGCUUGAGACGUGCGAUCUUGAGUGGGGAAGAGGGUCGUGGAAUUCCCAGUGUAGAGGUGAAAUUCGUAGAUAUUGGGAAGAACACCGGUGGCGAAGGCGGCGACCUGGUCCUUGACUGACGCUGAGGCGCGAAAGCCAGGGGAGCGAACGGG